AUAUCUUUAUUAUCAUGAGACGUCAAAAAGAAUUACUUUAACGAUUAGCAAAUUUAUUGUGUAACCUCUUUACUAAGUGCACUAAAUAAAUAAACAUAAUACGUUAAUAUACUUAAAAAAUAUUUAAUGAGAAUUAUAAAUUGAUGAAGGGUCUUUGUAACCUCAUAAGAGCUAAAAUCUAUUUCAUUAUAUUUAUAAGAUCAUGAACUUUAUACACUAUACGAAUAUUAAUUCAUAAUAAUCUAUUUUCUACCUGCAAUAAGAAAAAAAUAUGGUUGUGAUUCUCAAGUUUGUUAAUAUUUUGAUUCUAUUUUUUUUCUUAUUUCUUGUUACAAUAGAAGUGGGUGGUCAACAUACUAAAUGUGAGACAGAUGGUGAUUGCCCAAAAAAUGUGAACUUAUUUUUUGUUAGUAAGUGCAUUGAUAACAAAUGUGAAUGGAUCAGAAAAAUUUUAUGAUUUACGUUGUUUUGUUAACAAAAGAAAUUUUAAUAAAAUUUAUGAUAGACUAUUUUAUAAAUUGUAA